rnacentral:rRNA from 1 species
GUGGGGAAUCUUCCGCAAUGGACGAAAGUCUGACGGAGCAACGCCGCGUGAGUGAAGAAGGUUUUCGGAUCGUAAAGCUCUUUCGUCAGGGACGAACGUAUUUCUUGUAAAUAAUGAGAGAUAGUGACGGUACCUGAAUAAGAAGCCACGGCUAACUACGUGCCAGCAGCCGCGGUAAUACGUAGGUGGCAAGCGUUGUCCGGAAUUAUUGGGCGUAAAGCGCGCGCAGGCGGGAUAUCAAGUCUGUCUUAAAAGUGCGAGGCUCAACCUCGUGAGGGGACAGAAACUGGUAUUCUUGAGUGUCGGAGGGGAAAGUGGAAUUCCAAGUGUAGCGGUGAAAUGCGUAGAGAUUUGGAAGAACACCAGUGGCGAAGGCGACUUUCUGGACGAUGUCUGACGCUGAGGCGCGAAAGCUAGGGGAGCGAACGGGAUUAGAAACCCGAGUAGUCC